rnacentral:rRNA from 1 species
GUCAAAUCAUCAUGCCCCUUAUGACCUGGGCUACACACGUGCUACAAUGGACGGUACAAAGAGCUGCAAGACCGCGAGGUGGAGCUAAUCUCAUAAAACCGUUCUCAGUUCGGAUUGUAGGCUGCAACUCGCCUACAUGAAGCUGGAAUCGCUAGUAAUCGCGGAUCAGCAUGCCGCGGUGAAUACGUUCCCGGGCCUUGUACACACCGCCCGUCACACCACGAGAGUUUGUAACACCCGAAGUCGGUGGGGUAACCUUUU